GACGAACGCUGGCGGCGUGCUUAACACAUGCUAGUCGAACGAUGAAGCCUAGCUUGCUAGGUGGAUUAGUGGCGAACGGGUGAGUAAUACGUGAGUGACCUACCUUUGACUCUGGGAUAAGCCUGGGAAACUGGGUCUAAUACCGGAUACGACCAAUCUCUGCAUGGGGUGUUGGUGGAAAGCGUUAUGGAGUGGUUUUAGAUGGGCUCACGGCCUAUCAGCUUGUUGGUGAGGUAAUGGCUUACCAAGGCGACGACGGGUAGCCGGCCUGAGAGGGUGACCGGCCACACUGGGACUGAGACACGGCCCAGACUCCUACGGGAGGCAGCAGUGGGGAAUAUUGCACAAUGGGCGCAAGCCUGAUGCAACGACGCCGCGUGAGGGAUGACGGCCUUCGGGUUGUAAACCUCUGUUAGCAUCCAAGAAGCUAAAGUGACGGUAGGUGCAUAGAAAGCGCCGGCUAACUACGUGCCAUCAGCCGCGAGUAUACGUAUGGCGCGAGCGUCGUCAGGAAUUAUUGCUCAUAAAGAGCUUGUAGGCGGUUGGUCGCGUCUGCUGUGAAAGGCCGGGGUUUAACUCCGGAUUUUGCAUUGGGUACGGGCUAACUAGAGUGCCGUAAGGGAGACUGGAUUUCCUGGUGUAGCGGUGGAAUGCACAAAUAUCAGGAGGAACACCGAUGGCGAAGGCAGGUCUCUGGGUUGUAACUGACGCUGAGAAGCGAAAGCAUGGGGAGCGAACAGGAUUAGAUACCCUGGUAGUCCAUGCCGUAAACAUUGGGCACUAGGUGUGGGGGACAUUCCACGUUUUCCGCGCCGUAACUAACGCAUUAAGUGCCCCGCCUGGGGAGUACGGCCGCAAGGCUAAAACUCAGAGGAAUUGACGGGGGCCCGCACAAGCGGCGGAGCAUGCGGAUUAAUUCGAUGCAACGCGAAGAACCUUACCAAGGCUUGACAUGCAUUAGAUCGCGUCAGAGAUGGCGUUUCCCUUCGGGGCUGGUGUACAGGUGGUGCAUGGUUGUCGUCAGCUCGUGUCGUGAGAUGUUGGGUUAAGUCCCGCAACGAGCGCAACCCUCCUUCUAUGUUGCCAGCGGUUCGGCCGGGGACUCAUAGGAGACUGCCGGGGUUAACUCGGAGGAAGGUGGGGAUGACGUCAAAUCAUCAUGCCCCUUAUGUCUUGGGCUUCACGCAUGCUACAAUGGCCGGUACAGAGGGUUGCGAUACUGUGAGGUGGAGCUAAUCCCUUAAAGCCGGUCUCAGUUCGGAUUGGGGUCUGCAACUCGACCCCACGAAGUCGGAGUCGCUAGUAAUCGCAGAUCAGCAACGCUGCGGUGAAUACGUUCCCGGGCCU
rnacentral:rRNA from 1 species